rnacentral:rRNA from 1 species
UGGGGAAUUUUGGACAAUGGGCGCAAGCCUGAUCCAGCAAUGCCGCGUGCAGGAUGAAGGCCUUCGGGUUGUAAACUGCUUUUGUACGGAGCGAAAAGGUCUGCCCUAAUACGGUGGGCUCAUGACGGUACCGUAAGAAUAAGCACCGGCUAACUACGUGCCAGCAGCCGCGGUAAUACGUAGGGUGCGAGCGUUAAUCGGAAUUACUGGGCGUAAAGCGUGCGCAGGCGGUUAUAUAAGACAGGUGUGAAAUCCCCGGGCUCAACCUGGGACCUGCAUUUGUGACUGUAUAGCUAGAGUACGGUAGAGGAGGAUGGAAUUCCGCGUGUAGCAGUGAAAUGCGUAGAUAUGCGGAGGAACACCGAUGGCGAAGGCAAUCCCCUGGACCUGUACUGACGCUCAUGCACGAAAGCGUGGGGAGCAAACA